rnacentral:lncRNA from 1 species
GAGUGAACGUUUUAAUUUUUAUGCAACUCCAAUCGCCUCCCUGUGGAUUGACCUCUUACAACCGUUAUUUUUCGAGUAGAACAGGUAAGAGUUAAAUUAAUUUAAACUUUGUUUGUCGGUUCUAACAACGAUCUGUUUAGCAUAAUUUUUAGUUAGACAGGAAAGGACGAACACCAGCCGAUGAUGUGCAUUCCGCCCAAGGAUCAUGCGUCCGCUCCCUUUGGAUUCAUGGCUGG